rnacentral:rRNA from 1 species
CCUACGGGGGGCAGCAGUGGGGAAUAUUGGACAAUGGGGGCAACCCUGAUCCAGCCAUGCUGCGUGUGUGAAGAAGGCCCUCGGGUUGUAAAGCACUUUCAGUGAGGAAGAACACCUGGUGGUUAAUACCCAUCAGGAAAGACAUCACUCACAGAAGAAGCACCGGCUAACUCCGUGCCAGCAGCCGCGGUAAUACGGAGGGUGCGAGCGUUAAUCGGAAUUACUGGGCGUAAAGCGCGCGUAGGUGGCUUGAUAAGCCGGUUGUGAAAGCCCCGGGCUCAACCUGGGAACGGCAUCCGGAACUGUCAAGCUAGAGUGCAGGAGAGGAAGGUAGAAUUCCCGGUGUAGCGGUGAAAUGCGUAGAGAUCGGGAGGAAUACCAGUGGCGAAGGCGGCCUUCUGGACUGACACUGACACUGAGGUGCGAAAGCGUGGGUAGCAAACAGGAUUAGAUACCCGAGUAGUC